rnacentral:lncRNA from 1 species
GUUUGCAUAAAAAUGUACAGCAUAUGGAAAAAUCAGGAAAAAAUGUGUGUUCUAUUUAUCUUCAAGAUAUCUCCCCAAGUUUCCUCCUGGAGGUGCAAUUGUUUGUAAGAGCUUUUUCAUGUGAACACAGUAGUUUCUCUAUUUUAUUUAUUGUUCGCACCUUUAUGGAAAGUGAAAGGCCAAGAGAGGAUGGCAGGCUGCGGGCUAUCGGAAGAUGCCUUCUUCUCCUCUUUCUUUUACAACUACAGCUCCUCCUGGGAAACCUCCUACAACCAGGUCAAGAGUUUUCUUAAUGGCUGUGAGUAUCAGGAGCACCCAGCUGCUGUUUUCAUUAUCUACCUCUGAAACAGGUAAAUAAUGAAAGUGCUGAAACAUUUCCUACCAAGUUCCAAAGCUUUGGUCCUAGGGCAUUUCAAAGGAUUCCAAAUCAUGGGCCUAGGAUAUUUGGAGUGUCAGAGUAUUAGAAGAAAAAAAACCCUACACCUUCCGUCAAGCCCCAGGAUUCAAAAAUCAAACAUCAAAAGUGUCAGUGGCUUAGUUUUCAGCUACAGAAAACAAGAAAAUCGACUCCUUUUCCAACUUUUGCUUAUGCUGAUUCAGUUGAGAAAACAUUGAUGAAGAGAUGGGACUUCAUUAUUCCUGACUCUCCCCUAGCCCACACAGGAGUAAACAGAUGGACUGGCUCUUCUCUGCAUCACCACUUCCUUUCAGUCCCCCUAUGUCUAUUUGCCUCCCCAGAUUGCUAAUCAGCUACGCUUUGUAACUUGCAGAAUAAGCAUGUAGUUUGUUAGUAAAGAAAUCAGGUUGGUAUUUAAGGGGAAAUGGUAUUUUUUAAAAAAUGAUUGAAUAUUUUAAAGGGUUUCUUGGGACUAGCUUAUGGAUCUUACUGCAUUAAAC